rnacentral:rRNA from 1 species
UACGGAGGGUGCGAGCGUUAAUCGGAAUUACUGGGCGUAAAGCGCACGUAGGCGGUUCGUUAAGUCGGAUGUGAAAUCCCUGGGCUCAACCUGGGAGCUGCAUUCGAUACUGGCGAACUUGAGUAUGAUAGAGGGGGGUGGAAUUCCAGGUGUAGCGGUGAAAUGCAUAGAUACCACAAGGAACCCCAAAAGCGAAGGCAGCCUGCUGGGCGGUAACUGACGCUGAUGUACGAAAGCGUGGGGAUCAAACAGGAUUAGAUACCCCGGUAGU